CAGAGUGUACCCUCAGCAAGGUGGCUGGUGACACCAAACUAGGAGGACUGGCUGAUUCCCCAGAGGCUGUGCUGCCAUUCAGCGGGACCUCGACCGGCUUGAGAGCUGGGCAGAGAGGAACCUCAUGAGGUUCAACAAGGGCAAGUGCAGAAUCCUACAUCUGGGAAGGAUCAAGCCCACCCACCAGUACUGGCUGGGGCUCAAACUGCUGAAGAGCAGCUCUGCAGAGAGAGACCUGGGAGUCUUGAUUGAUAAUAAGCUGAAUAUGAGCCAGCACUGUGCCCUGUUGGCCAAGAAGGCCAAUGGCAGCCUGGGAUGCAUCAAGAAGAGUGUGGCCAGCAGGUCGAGGGAGGUUCUUCUCCCCCUCUCCUCUGCCCUGGUGAGGCCUCAUCUGGAGUCCUGUGCCCAGUUCUGGGCUCCUCAGCUCAAGAGGGACAAGGAAGUGCUGAAGAGAGUCUAGCGUAGGGCCACCAAGAUGAUCAGGGUUAUGGAACAUCUUUCAUGCAAGGAAAGGCUGCAUUCAACGCAAAGUGUAGGAAAGCUGCCGUGGCUUACAGAAAAACCUGCUCUCAGAACAAUUUUAGGAGGCUCUAGGCUGGCAUAAGAAGAAUUAUGACAAAAAGGCAUGAUAGGGACAUACCCUGAUUUCUCAAAAUCAGACUGUUGAUAAUGGUAAGAGUUAAGGCAAAUUCAGGAAGGCCCAAAAUUAAUACACUGGGACUGAGGCGGUAGGAAUCACAGUCUGCAAAUGUGUCUGGUAAGUCAUAUUUCAGCACCCCAUAGAGUUACAGCAAAAGCACUGGAUCUGUACCUUUGUUUCCAUCAGAGGACUCAGAGUCUCACUGAAGCACUGCUCUUCGGUCAUGCAGGAACAACAUUAAAGUAGAGAUGUCUCAUUAGCUGUUCCAUGAUACACUUUCAGUCAGCUCAUUUCUUCUCCCCUUCCUUUUCAGAUAAAUCCAUCUGUAAUUAUAGUGGGAAUAAUAAGCUCUGACAUAUUUGAUGUAAGAAAAACUGAAGAUAAGCAAUAGAUUUGCUUAUGAAGUUGUUAGAAUAACCCUAUUUUACAGUGACAGCCUGUCAAGACAACAUGUCUAAAUUAUAUUCCAUAUUUCCCUUCCAAUGUGUGCCCUAGUCUUUGUCAAAAAUAAACUCUCCACCUUAGUAAUGAGCGUGCCUAAAUAAAUGAUACAUUGCCAAGGAAAUAGAGGCUUCAUUCAGAUUGAUGUUAAUUUUAAAAUAUGGAGAAAUAAGUUUUAAUCUCCAUGAUGCCACUAAAAUUGUCACAAAACCUAUGCAGCAUUUUUUCAGUUUCCAAAAGCUCAUUAGCUGUGUCAGGAAGGUAAUUCUCUGAUAACUGCAGGAAGAAACACUGCAAGUUCUACAAGGGACAGUCAAAAUCAUCUUUUGAAGUGUUUUAGAUUAAGAACCGUGUGCACAAGAUUAUAUUUCUAUUUGAAGUUAAUUUCAGCAGUCCUAUCACUUCCCAGUCAAAGUAGUUGCUCUAGGGAUUAUUACAAAGCACAAUUUUCUUUCUGUCCCUAUGACCACUAUUAAUCAAAAAAUAAUUACAUCUACUUCUGCAGUCAAGGCACAUCUAUAACUGAAACAGUAACUUUGCCAAAACUAUGGUCUUCAUUCCCAAAAUGAAAUUGAGUUAAAAAAGAAAAGAUUCAUAACUUUCACAAAACAUAGCAAAAGAAGGAAUUAUCUAUUACAGUGUUGUUAGCUCUACCUACUCUAGACUGCUUGAUAUUGGCCUUUACAUAAUGGAUUUACAGACAGCCAUUAUAUAUACACUGACACUGUUUUCAGUCACUUAUCAUUUUAAUUGAGUAUUAACAUGUACAGUUCAAGUUUUCAGAAUUUGUGUCUACCAUGGCAUUUUUUGUUGUUGUUCUUAUUUUAACUUCAGCAUCAUCCCCUUUCAACUUAUUUAUCGUGUUGUACAUGCACUGUCCAUCCCCAGCAAAUCCUGUACCAAACAAGUGACCCAAUGUGACACAGGACUACAGGGAUGAAUACACUCUGGGCCAAAGCUGCUGGAUGAGUGUACCAGAAAUAACACUUGGAGCCCUCAUUUCUUUGUGUAGACCAGGGGAAAGCUGGGUUGAUCCUUCUGCCUCCUCCUGCAAGACAUCACAGCACUGGCAAUUCUGUGGGGACAGACGGAUCUUCGUAAGAAGAUGAGUUUGGCCAUCUUUGUUCUCUCAUAAGCAGCUGGGAGCUAGUCCAAGGAAAUUUCUGCAUGUGCUACAUCGUGCCGUCACAUGCAGGACUCUGCUCACAAGGAAUAUGAAGGAACAGUUUCGUCUCUGCAGUGUGGAAAUCACUACUUUCUUUUUCUGUUGUAGGUAUGAAGAAAUGUUGACAAGAGGGACAAUUGCAGAGGACCUGCCCACUGGAUAUAGGUGGGACAAGGCUGUUCCUGUGCAGCUUGCUUCCAGUCUACAAAAGGCCAGUAAGAUUUCUGCUUUUAGUAAGGAUCCUCUACCUAGCAAGCAUAAGCACACAUCACUCCUGGAAGAAGCAAAAAAAAAAGCCUGGUAGAUGUGGAAAACCUCUUGGCACCAUGAAGAUGACUGGACUACACAUGCAGCCAUCCACUUAAGACCAAGGAAUCUGAGGUGCUCCAGUGUCCAUCUGAGCAUAUUUUAUCUGACUGAAAUAGUAAAAUCCCAGACCAAUGCUGCAGAUGAAGAGGAAGCAGCCAUGAUAGGAAGCCGAAGUUGUGUCAUGUGCUCUGCAAGCCACAGAAGUCCAAGCCAAGCCAUAACCCUGAACCCUCACUUAAGACUCUUCAAAGUAAAGA